GCUGGGCGUGGUGGCUCAUGCCUGUAAUCCCACCACUUUGGGAGGCUGAGGUGGGUGGAUCACCUGAGGUCAGGAGUUCAGACCAGCCUGACCAAUGUGGUGAAACCCCAUCUCUA
rnacentral:SRP_RNA from 1 species